rnacentral:rRNA from 1 species
AACGAACGCUGGCGGCGUGCCUAACACAUGCAAGUCGAGCGCGAAAGGAGCAAUCCGAGUAGAGCGGCGCACGGGUGCGUAACACGUGGAUAAUCUGCCUCAGGGUCGAGGAUAACCUUCCGAAAGGUUGGCUAAUACUCGGUAAGCUUACGGUGACUUCGGUCGCUGUGAGAAAACUAGACCUCUAUUUAUAAGUUUAGGCCCAGAGAUGAGUCCGCGGCCCAUCAGCUAGUUGGCGGGGUAACGGCCCACCAAGGCUACGACGGGCAGCUGGUCUGAGAGGACGAUCAGCCACACUGGAACUGAGACACGGUCCAGACUCCUACGGGAGGCAGCAGUGGGGAAUUUUCCACAAUGGGCGAAAGCCUGAUGGAGCAACGCCGCGUGUGUGAUGAAGGUCUUCGGAUCGUAAAGCACUUUCGACUGGGACGAAAAACCUUUGGCUAACAUCCAGGGGCCUGACGGUACCAGGAGAAGAAGCACCGGCUAACUCUGUGCCAGCAGCCGCCGUAACAC